GACGAACGCUGGCGGCGUGCUUAACACAUGCAAGUCGAACGGAAAGGCCCUGCUUUUGUGGGGUGCUCGAGUGGCGAACGGGUGAGUAACACGUGAGUAACCUGCCCUUGACUUUGGGAUAACUUCAGGAAACUGGGGCUAAUACCGGAUAGGAGCUCCUGCUGCAUGGUGGGGGUUGGAAAGUUUCGGCGGUUGGGGAUGGACUCGCGGCUUAUCAGCUUGUUGGUGGGGUAGUGGCUUACCAAGGCUUUGACGGGUAGCCGGCCUGAGAGGGUGACCGGCCACAUUGGUACUGCGAUACGGCCCAGACUCCUACGGGAGGCAGCAGUGGGGAAUAUUGCACAAUGGGCGGAAGCCUGAUGCAGCAACGCCGCGUGCGGGAUGACGGCCUUCGGGUUGUGAACCGCUUUCGCCUGUGACGAAGCGUGAAUGACGGUAAUGGGUAAAGAAGCACCGGCUAACUACGUG
rnacentral:rRNA from 1 species